GACGAACGCUGGCGGCGUGCCUAAUACAUGCAAGUAGAACGCUGAAGGAGGAGCUUGCUUCUCUGGAUGAGUUGCGAACGGGUGAGUAACGCGUAGGUAACCUGCCUGGUAGCGGGGGAUAACUAUUGGAAACGAUAGCUAAUACCGCAUAAGAGUAGAUGUUGCAUGACAUUUGCUUAAAAGGUGCAAUUGCAUCACUACCAGAUGGACCUGCGUUGUAUUAGCUAGUUGGUGGGGUAACGGCUUACCAAGGCGACGAUACAUAGCCGACCUGAGAGGGUGAUUGGCCAAACUGGGACUGAGGCACGGGCCAGACUCCUACGGGGAGCAGCAGGAGGGGAUCUUCGGCAAUGGACGGAAGUCUGACCGAGCAACGCCGCGUGAGUGAAGAAGGGUUUCGGAGCGUAAAGCUCUGUUGUAAGAGAAGAAAGAGUGUGAGAGUGGAAAGUUCACACUGUGACGGUAUCUUAACAGAAAGGGACGGCUAACUACGUG
rnacentral:rRNA from 1 species